rnacentral:rRNA from 1 species
UACCAGCACCCCGAGUGGUCGGGACGUUUAUUGGGCCUAAAGCAUCCGUAGCCGGUUCUACAAGUCUUCCGUUAAAUCCACCAGCUCAACAGAUGGGCUGCGGAAGAUACUAUGGAGCUAGGAGGCGGGAGAGGCAAGCGGUACUCGAUGGGUAGGGGUAAAAUCCGUUGAUCCAUUGAAGACCACCAGUGGCGAAGGCGGCUUGCCAGAACGCGCUCGACGGUGAGGGAUGAAAGCUGGGGGAGCAAACCGG